GACGAACGCUGGCGGCGUGCUUAGCACAUGCAAGUCGAACGGAAAGGCCCUGCUUUUGUGGGGUGCUCGAGUGGCGAACGGGUGAGUAACACGUGAGUAACCUGCCCUUGACUUUGGGAUAACUUCAGUAAACUGGGGCUAAUACCGGAUAGGAGCUCCUGCUGCAUGGUGGGGGUUGGAAAGUUUCGGCGGUUGGGGAUGGACUCGCGGCUUAUCAGCUUGUUGGUGGGGUAGUGGCUUACCAAGGCUUUGACGGGUAGCCGGCCUGAGAGGGUGACCGGCCACAUUGGGACUGAGAUACGGCCCAGACUCCUACGGGAGGCAGCAGUGGGGAAUAUUGCACAAUGGGCGGAAGCCUGAUGCAGCAACGCCGCGUGCGGGAUGACGGCCUUCGGGUUGUAAACCGCUUUCGCCUGUGACGAAGCGUGAGUGACGGUAAUGGGUAAAGAAGCACCGGCUAACUACGUG
rnacentral:rRNA from 1 species